UACAGAGGGGGCAAGCGUUGUUCGGAAUUACUGGGCGUAAAGGGCGCGUAGGCGGCGUGCUAAGUCGAACGUGAAAUCCCCGGGCUCAACCCGGGAACUGCGUCCGAAACUGGCAUGCUUGAAUCCGGGAGAGGGAUGUGGAAUUCCAGGUGUAGCGGUGAAAUGCGUAGAUAUCUGGAGGAACAUCGGUGGCGGAGGAGGCAUCCUGGACCGGUAUUGACGCUGAGGCGCGAAAGCCAGGGGAGCAAACGGG
rnacentral:rRNA from 1 species